rnacentral:rRNA from 1 species
UACGAGGGGGGCAAGCGUUGUUCGGAAUUAUUGGGCGUAAAGGGCGCGUAGGCGGUGCGGUAAGUCACCUGUGAAAACUCUGGGCUCAACUCAGAGCCUGCAGGCGAAACUGCCGUGCUUGAGUGUGGGAGAGGUGCGUGGAAUUCCCGGUGUAGCGGUGAAAUGCGUAGAUAUCUGGAGGAACACCGGUGGCGAAGGCGGCAUCCUGGACCAACACUGACGCUGAGGAGCGAAAGCCAGGGGAGCAAAGCGGG